UCUGGCAACAACAAUUCCUGGCAGCGCCAGUGCGCACCGUUCCGCUGCCUCCAGCCGACGCAUGCGCAGUACAGCGAGCCUCACACGGUGAAAAUGCCUCUCGCCAGAGACCUCCUCCACCCUUCUAUUGAACUUCAAAGAAGAGAGCACAAAAAGAAAAUACUCGUCCAAAGUCCCAACUCCUACUUUAUGGACGUCAAGUGUCCAGGCUGCGCAGACCGUGGUGCUGUGCCUGUCAAGUGGAGGAAAGGCCAGACUGACUGAGGGUUGCUCUUUCAGGAGGAAGCAACCCUAAAGAGGGAUUCCCCACUUUGUAAUCAAGCCAUGCUGUUGAUAAAUCCCUUUAUUUCCAUCAAUUACAAAACUGUUGUUCACUGACUAAUUGGCAGGUUCUGCUACUGUAUGUCCAACUUUUAUUAAAAAGAUGAAUGAACUGGAAUAAACAAGUUUUUCUAAAUGAACAAUAACAUCUUGUAAAGGAAAUAAAUUAAUCGGUUAUAAAAUGUGAA